rnacentral:rRNA from 1 species
AGUGAACGCUGGCGGUAGGCCUAACACAUGCAAGUCGAACGGCAGCACAGUAAGAGCUUGCUCUUACGGGUGGCGAGUGGCGGACGGGUGAGGAAUACAUCGGAAUCUACUUUUUCGUGGGGGAUAACGUAGGGAAACUUACGCUAAUACCGCAUACGACCUACGGGUGAAAGCAGGGGAUCUUCGGACCUUGCGCGAUUGAAUGAGCCGAUGUCGGAUUAGCUAGUUGGCGGGGUAAAGGCCCACCAAGGCGACGAUCCGUAGCUGGUCUGAGAGGAUGGUCAGCCACACUGGAACUGAGACACGGUCCAGACUCCUACGGGAGGCAGCAGUGGGGAAUAUUGGACAAUGGGCGCAAGCCUGACCCAGCCAUCCCGCGUGGGUGAAGAAGGCCUUCGGGUUGUAAAGCCCUUUUGUUGGGAAAGAAAAGCAGCAGGUUAAUACCCCGCUGUUCUGACGGUACCCAAAGAAUAAGCACCGGCUAACUUCGUG